ensembl:lncRNA
GGCUAAGCUAGUGGGGGAAAAGUUUCAGUGCAUUCCGUUGAUGUAGACAACGUGAAAACGGAAACAAGAAGUAUGCCGGCUCACUGUGCUGCAUACAGUUACACACUACGUCGUACGAUUGAGACAAGGAAACUUGGAAUGACUUUUCAUAGGUCCUUCUCUAUCUCCCCACACAUCCACCAACCACUGGAACACAUCUCCAAAGUUCUGCUGGACCAGCUCAGCUUCCCCUCAGAAGAAGUGCUGCCACCUGCCAGAUGAAGGAGCCUUUUGAGAGGCAGCUGGCAUCGUGAUUGGACUGUACUUUGGUCUGUUCCAAUCCAGCUUCAGCUCCAGAGACGGCAGGCGGGACGAGUCAACGGAGGCCUGGUGGACGAAGGCAUGCAGCUGAGUACAAUCCAGAAAACAACAGAGGAGGAGUGCAGCAGCCCAGAGCCAGAACAAGCAGAGUAGCAUCACCUGCUCUUCUAGUGGUCUUCCUUCUAGUCGCUGUAAAAAGUCAGUCCAUCCUGGCCGACUUCAACACCUCUUCAUGACAACUUGUUCUGCCUCCGACCUGGUGGAAACUCCAGAAACUCGGGAAAACCUGUGGAGACUCGAAGAACUCGUGG